AACGAACGCUGGCGGCAUGCCUAACACAUGCAAGUCGAACGAGACCUUCGGGUCUAGUGGCGCACGGGUGCGUAACGCGUGGGAACCUGCCCUUAGGUUCGGAAUAACUCCCCGAAAUGGGUGCUAAUACCGGAUAAUUUCUUCGGACCAAAGAUUUAUCGCCUUUGGAUGGGCCCGCGUUGGAUUAGCUAGUUGGUAGGGUAAAAGCCUACCAAGGCGACGAUCCAUAGCUGGUCUGAGAGGAUGAUCAGCCACACUGGGACUGAGACACGGCCCAGAAUCCUACGGGAGGCAGCAGUGGGGAAUAUUGGACAAUGGGCGAAAGCCUGAUCCAGCAAUGCCGCGUGAGUGAUGAAGGCCUUAGGGUUGUAAAGCUCUUUUACCCGGGAUGAUAAUGACAGUACCGGGAGAAUAAGCUCCGGCUAACUCCGUG
rnacentral:rRNA from 1 species